rnacentral:rRNA from 1 species
GACGAACGCUGGCGGCGUGCCUAAUACAUGCAAGUUGAGCGCUGAAGGUUGGUACUUGUACCAACUGGAUGAGCAGCGAACGGGUGAGUAACGCGUGGGGAAUCUGCCUUUGAGCGGGGGACAACAUUUGGAAACGAAUGCUAAUACCGCAUAAAAACUUUAAACACAAGUUUUAAGUUUGAAAGAUGCAAUUGCAUCACUCAAAGAUGAUCCCGCGUUGUAUUAGCUAGUUGGUGAGGUAAAGGCUCACCAAGGCGAUGAUACAUAGCCGACCUGGGAGGGUGAUCGGCCAAAAUGGGACUGAGACACGGCCCAAACUCCUACGGGAGGCAGCAGGAGGGAAUCUUCGGCAAUGGACGAAAGUCUGACCGAGCAACGCCGCGUGAGUGAAGAAGGGUUUCGGAUCGUAAAACUCUGUUGGUAGAGAAGAACGUUGGUGAGAGUGGAAAGCUCAUCAAGUGACGGUAACUACCCAGAAAGGGACGGCUAACUACGUG